UACGUAGGGACCAAGCGUUGUUCGGAUUUACUGGGCGUAAAGGGCGCGUAGGCGGCUUAACAAGUCACUUGUGAAAUCUCCGGGCUUAACUCGGAACGGCCAAGUGAAACUGUCAAGCUAGAGUGCAGAAGGGGCAAUCGGAAUUCUUGGUGUAGCGGUGAAAUGCGUAGAUAUCAAGAGGAACACCUGCGGCGAAGGCGGGUUGCUGGGCUGACACUGACGCUGAAGCGCGAAAGCUAGGGGAGCGAACGGG
rnacentral:rRNA from 1 species